rnacentral:pre_miRNA from 1 species
UAGCUACUUCCUCCGUCCGGGAAUACUUGUCAUCAAAAUGAAUAAAAAGGGAUGUAUCUAGAAUUAAAUAUAAUUCUAGAUACAUCCCUUUUUAUUCAUUUUGAUGACAAAUAUUUCCGGACGAAGGUGGUACUUA